rnacentral:rRNA from 1 species
GACGAACGCUGGCGGCGUGCCUAAUACAUGCAAGUUGAGCGCUGAAGGUUGGUACUUGUACCAACUGGAUGAGCAGCGAACGGGUGAGUAACGCGUGGGGAAUCUGCCUUUGAGCGGGGGACAACAUUUGGAAACGAAUGCUAAUACCGCAUAAAAACUUUAAACACAAGUUUUAAGUUUGAAAGAUGCAAUUGCAUCACUCAAAGAUGAUCCCGCGUUGUAUUAGCUAGUUGGUGAGGUAAAGGCUCACCAAGGCGAUGAUACAUAGCCGACCUGAGAGGGUGAUCGGCCACAUUGGGACUGAGACACGGCCCAAACUCCUACGGGAGGCAGCAGUAGGGAAUCUUCGGCAAUGGACGAAAGUCUGACCGAGCAACGCCGCGUGAGUGAAGAAGGUUUUCGGAUCGUAAAACUCUGUUGGUAGAGAAGAACGUUGGUGAGAGUGGAAAGCUCAUCAAGUGACGGUAACUACCCAGAAGGGACGGCUAACUACGUG